rnacentral:rRNA from 1 species
ACUCCUACGGGAGGGCACAGUGGGAAUGUUCACAAUGGGNGCAAGCCUGAUGCAGCCAUGCCGCGUGUGUGAAGAAGGCCUUCGGGUUGUAAAGCACUUUCAGUCGUGAGGAAGGUAGUGUAGUUAAUAGCUGCAUUAUUUGACGUUAGCGACAGAAGAAGCACCGGCUAACUCCGUGCCAGCAGCCGCGGUAAUACGGAGGGUGCGAGCGUUAAUCGGAAUUACUGGGCGUAAAGCGCAUGCAGGUGGUUUGUUAAGUCAGAUGUGAAAGCCCGGGGGCUCAACCUCGGAAUUGCAUUUGAAACNGGCAGACUAGAGUACUGUAGAGGGGGGUAGAAUUUCAGGUGNAGCGGUGAAAAUGCGUAGAGAUCUGAAGGAAU